rfam:Schistosoma rodhaini strain Burundi genome assembly, scaffold: SROB_scaffold0017409
AUCCAGCUGACGAGCCCCAGCGAGGACGAAACAAGCGUCCUGGAU